GAUAAACGCUGGCGGCGUGCCUAACACAUGCAAGUCGAACGAUCCCGCAAGGGAGAGUGGCGGAAGGGUGAGUAACACGUGGGAAUCUACCUCCUCGCAGGGAACAACCUCUCGAAAGAGAGGCUAAUACCCAAAAGGGUCAGAAAUGAUCAGAGUCGAAAGGCGUGAGGAGAGGAGCCCGCGGCCCAUCAGCUAGUUGGUGAGGUAAUGGCUUACCAAGGCUACGACGGGUAGGGAUCUGAGAGGAUGUCCCCCACACUGGAACUGAAACACGGUCCAGACGCCUACGGGUGGCAGCAGUGAGGAAUAUUGGACAAUGGGCGAAAGCCCGAUCCAGCAACGCCGCGUGGAGGAUG
rnacentral:rRNA from 1 species